rnacentral:rRNA from 1 species
AACGAACGCUGGCGGCAUGCCUAACACAUGCAAGUCGAACGAGACCUUCGGGUCUAGUGGCGCACGGGUGCGUAACGCGUGGGAACCUGCCCUUAGGUUCGGAAUAACUUCCCGAAAGGGGUGCUAAUACCGGAUAAUUUCUUCGGACCAAAGAUUUAUCGCCUUUGGAUGGGCCCGCGUUGGAUUAGCUUGUUGGUAGGGUAAAAGCCUACCAAGGCGACGAUCCAUAGCUGGUCUGAGAGGAUGAUCAGCCACACUGGGACUGAGACACGGCCCAGACUCCUACGGGAGGCAGCAGUGGGGAAUAUUGGACAAUGGGCGAAAGCCUGAUCCAGCAAUGCCGCGUGAGUGAUGAAGGCCUUAGGGUUGUAAAGCUCUUUUACCCGGGAUGAUAAUGACAGUACCGGGAGAAUAAGCUCCGGCUAACUCCGUG